UAAACAGAGUGAGUACGGUAGUAAACAGAGUGAGUACGGUAGUGAAGUAAACAGAGUGAGUACGGUAGUGAAGUAAACAGAGUGAGUACGGUAGUGUACUAAACAGAGUGAGUACGGUAGUGUACUAAACAGAGUGAGUACGGUAGUAAACAGAGUGAGUACGGUAGUGUACUAAACAGCGUGAGUAAGGUAGUGUACUAAACAGAGUGAGUACGAUAGUGUACUAAACAGAGUGAGUACGGUAGUGAACUAAACAGAGUGAGUACGGUAGUAAACAGAGUGAGUACGGUAGUGUGCUAAACAGAGUGAGUACGGUAGUGUGCUAAACAGAGAGUACGGUAGUGUGCUAAACAGAGUGAGUAGUGUAGUGUGCUAAACAGAGUGAGUACAGUAGUGUGCUAAACAGAGUGAGUACGGUAGUGUAGUAAACAGAGUGAGUACGGUAGUGUGCUAAACAGAGUGAGUACGGUAGUGUACUAAACAGAGUGAGUAUGGUAGUGUGCUAAACAGAGUGAGUACGGUAGUAAACAGAGUGAGUAGUGUACUAAACAGAGUGAGUACGGUAGUGUACUAAACAGAGUGAGUACGGUAGUGUACUAAACAGAGUGAGUAAGGUAGUGUGCUAAACAGAGUGAGUACGGUAGUAAACAGAGUGAGUACGGUAGUGUACUAAACAGAGUGAGUACGGUAGUGUACUAAACAGAGUGAGUACGGUAGUGUACUAAACAGAGUGAUUACGGUAGUGUGCUAAACAGAGUGAGUACGGUAGUGAACACAGUGAGUACGGUAAUGUGCUAAACAGAGUGAGUACGGUAUUGUAGUAAACAGAGUGAGUACGGUAGUGUACUAAACAGAGUGAGUACGGUAGUGUACUAAACAGAGUGAGUACGGUAGUGUGCUAAACAGAGUGAGUACGGUAGUGUAGUAAACAGAGUGAGUACGGUAGUGUGCUAAACAGAGUGAGUACUGUAAUGUACUAAACAGAGUGAGUACGGUAGUAAACAGAGUGAGUACGGUAGUGAAGUAAACAGAGUGAGUACGGUAGUAAACAGAGUGAGUACGGUAGUGUACUAAACAGAGUGAGUACGGUAGUAAACAGAGUGAGUACGGUAGUGUACUAAACAGAGUGAGUACGGUAGUAAACAGAGUGAGUACGGUAGUAAACAGAGUGAGUACGGUAGUAAAAUGAGUGAGUACGGUAGUAAACAGAGUGAGUACGGUAGUGAAGUAAACAGAGUGAGUACGGUAGUGUACUAAACAGAGUGAGUACGGUAGUGUACUAAACAGAGUGAGUACGGUAGUGUACUAAACAGAGUGAGUACGGUAGUGUACUAAACAGAGUGAGUACGGUAGUGUGCUAAACAGAGUCAGUACGGUAGUGUACUAAACAGAGUGAGUACGGUAGUAAACAGAGUGAGUACGGUAGUGAAGUAAACAGAGUGAGUACGGAAGUGUACUAAACAGAGUGAGUACGGUAGUGUACUAAACAGAGUGAGUACGGUAGUGUACUAAACAGAGUGAGUACGGUAGUGUUCUAAACAGAGUGAGUACGGUAGUGUACUAAACAGAGUGAGUAAGGUAGUGUGCUAAAAAGAGUGAGUACGGUAAUGUGCUAAACAGAGUGAGUACGGUAGUGUAGUAAACAGAGUGAAUACGGUAGUGUACUAAACAGAAUGAGUACGGUAGUAAACAGAGUGAGUAUGGUAGUGUAGUAAACAGAGUGAGUACGGUAGUGUGCUAAACAGAGUGAGUACUGUAAUGUACUAAACAGAGUGAGUACGGUAGUAAACAGAGUGAGUACGGUAGUGUACUAAACAGAGUGAGUACGGUAGUGUACUAAACAGAGUGAGUACGGUAGUGUACUAAACAGAGUUAGUACGGUAGUGUCCUAAACAGAGUGAGUAAGGUAGUGUGCUAAACAGAGUGAGUACGGUAUUGUAUUAAACAGAGUGAGUACGGUAGUGUACUAAACAGAGUGAGUACGGUAGUGUAGUAAACAGAGUGAGUACGGUGUUGUGCUAAACAGAGAGAGUACUGUAAUGUACUAAACAGAGUGAGUACGGAAGUAAACAGAGUGAGUACGGUAGUAAACAGAGUGAGUACGGUAGUGAAGUAAACAGAGUGAGUACGGUAGUAAACAGAGUGAGUACGGUAGUGUAAUAAACAGAGUGAGUACGGUAGUAAACAGAGUGAGUACGGUAGUAAACAGAGUGAGUACGGUAAAAAACAGAGUGAGUACGGUAGUAAACAGAGUGAGUACGGUAGUGAAGUAAACAGAGUGAGUACGGAAGUGUACUAAACAGAGUGAGUACGGUAGUGUACUAAACAGAGUGAGUACGAUAGUGUACUAAACAGAGUGAGUACGGUAGUGAAUUAAACAGAGUGAGUACGGUAGUAAACAGAGUGAGUAGUGUGCGAAACAGAGUGAGUACGGUAGUGUGCUAAACAGAGUGAGUACGGUAGUAAACAGAGUGAGUACGGUAGUGUACUAAACAGAGUGAGUACGGUAGUGUACUAAACAGAGUCAGUACGGUAGUGUACUAAACAGA
rnacentral:lncRNA from 1 species